rnacentral:rRNA from 1 species
AUUGAACGCUGGCGGAAUGCUUUACACAUGCAAGUCGAACGGCAGCACGGGUGCUUGCACCUGGUGGCGAGUGGCGAACGGGUGAGUAACAUAUAGGAACGUGCCCAGUAAUGGGGGAUAACUAACCGAAAGGUUAGCUAAUACCGCAUACGCCCUGAGGGGGAAAGCGUGGGCUCGAAAGACCUCGCGCUAUUGGAGCGGCCGGUAUCUGAUUAGCUAGUUGGUAGGGUAAAGGCCUACCAAGGCGACGAUCAGUAGCUGGUCUGAGAGGAUGAUCAGCCACACUGGGACUGAGACACGGCCCAGACUCCUACGGGAGGCAGCAGUGGGGAAUUUUGGACAAUGGGCGAAAGCCUGAUCCAGCCAUUCCGCGUGAGUGAAGAAGGCCUUCGGGUUGUAAAGCUCUUACGGCAGGAACGAAACGCUCUAGAUUAAUACUCUGGGGUAAUGACGGUACCUGAAGAAGAAGCACCGGCUAACUACGUGCCAGCCGCCGCCGUAA